UGCUCAUUCAUUUUUACAUUC
rnacentral:piRNA from 1 species